rnacentral:rRNA from 1 species
CGGAUCGGAGUCUGNAACCCGACUCCGUGAAGCUGGAUUCGCUAGUAAUCGCGCAUCAGCCAUGGCGCGGUGAAUACGUUCCCGGGCCUUGUACACACCGCCCGUCAAGCCAUGGGAGCCGGGGGUGCUUGAAGUGCGUCGCCGCAAGGCGCGCCCUAGAGCAAAACCGGUGACUGGGGCUAAGUCGUAACAAGGUAAC